rnacentral:rRNA from 1 species
YCGCCCGCCGCGCGCGGCGGGCGGGGCGGGGGCACGGGGGGCCUACGGGAGGCAGCAGUAAGGAAUAUUGGUCAAUGGACGGAAGUCUGAACCAGCCAUGCCGCGUGCAGGAAGACGGCCCUACGGGUUGUAAACUGCUUUUGUACGGGAAUAAACCUACUUACGUGUAAGUAGCUGAAUGUACGUAAGAUUAAGUCMUCCCCCC